rnacentral:rRNA from 1 species
AGAGUUUGAUCAUGGCUCAGAACGAACGCUGGCGGCAGGCCUAACACAUGCAAGUCGAGCGCUCUCUUCGGAGGGAGCGGCGGACGGGUGAGUAACGCGUGGGAACGUACCCUUUUCUACGGAAUAGCCUCGGGAAACUGAGAGUAAUACCGUAUACGCCCUUCGGGGGAAAGAUUUAUCGGAGAAGGAUCGGCCCGCGUUGGAUUAGGUAGUUGGUGGGGUAAUGGCCUACCAAGCCGACGAUCCAUAGCUGGUUUGAGAGGAUGAUCAGCCACACUGGGACUGAGACACGGCCCAGACUCCUACGGGGGGCAGCAGUGAGGAAUAUUCGUCAAUGGGGGCAACCCUGAACGAGCAACGCCGCGUGGAGGAUGAAGGUCUUUGGAUUGUAAACUCCUUUUCUGCGGGAAGAGUAAGGACGGUACCGCAGGAAUAAGUCACGGCUAACUACGUGCCAGCAGCCGCGGUAAUACGUA